GCCUGAGCAAGCUUGGCGAGCUGCAAGGCACCUUGAGUAGCAGCCAGAUCCCGAGCGCCCCCCGGUGCUUUGCGCAGGGUACCUGAGCAGUCUGGGGGGCCAUCAGGUGUGCCACUAAGGGAAGGCUGAUUUGGCUACGCCAGAGUUGGGCCCUGCGUGGGACCCAUCGCAAUGUCGAAAGAAACAGGACGGGAAACAGCUCAAAACCAUACCUGUAAGCUAGAACUCACUGGAGUGCGUCUAAGCAGCUCGCCUUUGGGACCCACCCAGAAUAUCCGGAUAACAGUUACCCCGUUCUCUGUGUGUUGAACUUGCGUAGACGCGGGUUCGGCCCCAGGGGCCACCACGAUAAUUUGGGGGACUGAGGAAACUAUUUCCUGGAGGGUUCAGGCGAUGUAAAAAGCCACUGUGAUUUUUACAGAGUCAAAACCACUCAUAAACCGGUGCACCCUGUUUCCCACCACCCCGCGCCGUGCACCUCUAGGAAUGGAAGGGGCUACCACCAGCGGAAACCCGCGCGCCCGGGGCUAACCUCCGGGCCGGGCCAUUAAUCACUUAGUCCGCGCUCUGCGCACGCCUCCCCAAGCCUUCGACCCGCAGGGUUGGAGGCUCCAAGCCGCUGGAGAGCUCAGCGCCUCUCCCCGACUAGCUUCGCCCAACUCUCUGCCCUUCCCGCUUCCUGGCCGCCAGGCGCUUUCCCUACAAUCUAGUUGUUUGCAGAGUGCAUGCAAAGUGGCGCGUGUUUCGGGGGCACCCAGCCGCCAAGGAAGAAGCCAUCAGCCCGCUCCCGUGUUACUCGGCAGCAGGCCUGGGGACUAGCUGCGAAGUAGCCGGGUGCCUGCAGCCGCAGAGCUGGGGCACGCGGAGCGCGCCAUGGGGAGCUCACCACAAGGCCGAAGGUCGCGUCGGGAGGCGCAGGAGGAUCCGAGGAGAAGGGCCGGAGAGGCUCUGUGGAACGCAGUGGACGCUGCUGAAGAGGUGCCUUGAAGAAAGCUACAGGAACACCUCGGAGAAGCACUCCUGGAUUUUGCCAGCUCUGCUGUUGCCCAAACUUGGAAACAAGCCCAGCAUUUUGCACAGCCAUCUUCUCUCUGAGGGUCCCUAGUAUGCUCUCCCCCAUGCCCUGCUGGAAGGACGACCGCUGCAGAGGCCACCACACAGAGACUCCAGACCAGGGAGACACAGGCAAUGCUCUGUGUUAUCAUGCAAGCCUGGGAAGUCACCCCUGGAACCGCCAACAUGAGGAUUUCCACUACCAUGCUGGCUGUGAUCAACACACCCAAACCCCAAAAUUCUUUCCUGAUCUGGAACCUUUGCCUUUCCCUCUUGGGCUGUCUGACCCUCAGCCCUUGCCACCUUUGCCCCUACACUUCUGGGAGCACAGCUUCAAGGACCUGCAGGCUAUAGAGACUGCUGGAUGCCUGCUCUGCCUACACCUCCUGUUCCCAAGGAGAGGCGCCCGGAGCCCACCUGAAUUCCAGAUACCAGCUGUGUGACUGAACAGACUUCCUAGCCUCUGCUGGCCCCUUGGCUGCAAGGGACUUGGCUGAGCCCUGUAUCUGCAGGAGUCUGGAUAUGACUCUUGUGCUAGAGAUACCUCUGCCCUGCUGGAUGUGCGAUGGACACUCACCUCUGGGGAAGGAUUGGGGCUGGUGGGCGGCUCCAUUUCAGUUCUGGGAGCUUGGGGAUCUCCUGGGCCACAGGCCACAGCAGCGGGCCUCGGGGCUGGGAUCACGAUC